rnacentral:rRNA from 1 species
UACGAAGGGUGCAAACGUUGCUCGGAAUCAUUGGGCGUAAAGCGCACGUAGGCGUCCUCGCAAGUUGGAUGUGAAAUCCCUCGGCUCAACCGAGGACGUGCAUCCAAAACUGCGGGGCUUGAGUACUGAAGAGGAUCGCGGAAUUCCCGGUGUAGAGGUGAAAUUCGUAGAUAUCGGGAGGAACACCAGUGGCGAAGGCGGCGAUCUGGGCAGAUACUGACGCUGAGGUGCGAAAGCGUGGGGAGCAAACAGG